UACGAAGGGGGCUAGCGUUGUUCGGAAUUACUGGGCGUAAAGCGUGCGCAGGCGGCUUCUCAAGUCAGUGGUGAAAGCCCGGAGCUCAACUCCGGAAUUGCCAUUGAAACUGUGAGGCUUGAGGACGAGAGAGGUGAGUGGAAUUCCCAGUGUAGAGGUGAAAUUCGUAGAUAUUGGGAAGAACACCGGUGGCGAAGGCGGCUCACUGGCUCGUUUCUGACGCUCAUGCACGAUAGCGUGGGGAUCAAACAGG
rnacentral:misc_RNA from 1 species